rnacentral:lncRNA from 1 species
CCACAUUGAAAAUACAUCUCCAAUAUUCCAUUGCAUGUGCUGACUUUAAGAGGUGACAAAUGUUGUAAAACAUAUCUGUGUACAACUUUUGCCUCUUCAAGAGACUUGGUCUUCCCACAUUGUUGCAUUAAUCGCAAACAACGAUCCAAAUCUACAAGAAUAUGAAACUUUUCUAACACUUGCAAAACAUCAAUUGCUUCCUUCACUUCACCCUCCAUGCAAGAACUAUCAAGUUCCUCAAUCAAUUUGCGCUCAGUCAUGUUCAUGUUCCUGAACACGUUGACUGCAUCAUCUACAGAACCACAUUGAAAAUACAUCUCUAAUAUUCUAAUGCAUGUGCGAACUGUGAGAGGUGACAAAUGUUGUAAAACAUAUAUGUGUACAACUUUUGCCUCUUCAAGAAACUCAGCCUUUCCACACAGUUGCAUUAAUCGCAAACAAAGAUACAAAUCCACAUAAGUAUGAAGCUUUUCUAACUCUUGCAAAACAGCAAUUGCUUU